rnacentral:rRNA from 1 species
GACGAACGCUGGCGGCGUGCUUAACACAUGCAAGUCGAACGGAAAGGCCCUGCUUUUGUGGGGUUCUCGAGUGGCGAACGGGUGAGUAACACGUGAGUAACCUGCCCUUGACUUUGGGAUAACUUCAGGAAACUGGGGCUAAUACCGGAUAGGAGCUCCUGCUGCAUGGUGGGGGUUGGAAAGUUUCGGCGGUUGGGGAUGGACUCGCGGCUUAUCAGCUUGUUGGUGGGGUAGUGGCUUACCAAGGCUUUGACGGGUAGCCGGCCUGGGAGGGUGACCGGCCACAUUGGGACUGAGAUACGGCCCAGACUCCUACGGGAGGCAGCAGUGGGGAAUAUUGCACAAUGGGCGGAAGCCUGAUGCAGCGACGCCGCGUGCGGGAUGACGGCCUUCGGGUUGUAAACCGCUUUCGCCUGUGACGAAGCGUGAGUGACGGUAAUGGGUAAAGAAGCACCGGCUAACUACGUG